GACGAAGGAUGCAAGCGUUAUCCGGAUUCAUUGGGUUUAAAGGGUGCGUAGGCGGCCCGGUAAGUCAGUGGUGAAAUCUCCUUGCUUAACAAGGAAACUGCCAUUGAUACUGCUGGGCUUGAGUACAGAUGCUGUGGGCGGAAUAUGACAUGUAGUGGUGAAAUACAUAGAGAUGUCAUAGAACACCGAUUGCGAAGGCAGCUCACAAAACU
rnacentral:rRNA from 1 species